GGGCACCACCAGGAGUGGAGCCUGCGGCUUAAUUUGACUCAACACGGGGAAACUCACCCGGUCCGGACACUGGAAGGAUUGACAGAUUAAAAGCUCUUUCUUGAUUCAGUGGGUGGUGGUGCAUGGCCGUUCUUAGUUGGUGGAGUGAUUUGUCUGGUUAAUUCCGAUAACGAACGAGACUCUAGCCUGCUAACUAGUUCGCCGGCAGCUCUUGUCGCGCGGCGCCGCUUCGGCGGCAAACUUCUUAGAGGGACAGGUGGCGUUUAGCCACACGAAGUAGAGCAAUAACAGGUCUGUGAUGCCCUUAGAUGUCCGGGGCCGCACGCGCGCUACACUGAAAGAAUCAACGUGGAUGCCCACCUGCUCCGAGAGGAGUGGGAAACCCGAUGAAUCUCUUUCGUGAUGGGGAUUGGGGCUUGUAAUUGUUCCCCAUGAACGAGGAAUUCCCAGUAAGCGUCAGUCAUCAGCUGGCGCUGAUUACGUCCCUGCCCUUUGUACACACCGCCCGUCGCUACUACCGAUUGAAUGGUUUAGUGAGACCCUCGGACUGGAGUCCGUCCGCCGCUUUCGGGUGGUGGAUGGGGACGGAAAGACGGUCGAACUUGAUCAUUUAGAGGAAGUAA
rnacentral:rRNA from 1 species